CGAGUCCCCGGUUCCGGGAGAUUCGAGCGCGAGCCGCGGUGUCCCUGGGGCGCGAGGCAGCUCGAUUAAAAAAUCAAACGCGAGCCACUCGAUCGGACCCGAGCGAACUCACCACGGCUGACACACGGCUUUAGGGCUUUGACAGCACAGCGGUCGCGUAAUGGCAACGACCCUGCACCCUGCACGCGCACUUCGGACACUUACCCGUCCGCACUUUCUGCACUCGGGCGAAAGAGAGAGAAAGAGGCGCGUAUAUCUCGAGAGAAAGAGAAAGUGAGAGGAAGCCGGGUAGCCGUGGGGAAGGCGCGACGUACGACUGCAAGAGGAAAAAACAGACCCCAUGACUCACGGCGCAAGACGUUGUCGCGAAACUGCCAUUAUUUAUCGCCUUGAUCACGCUUACCCUUCGUUGCAGGCCUGCAAGUACGACGACACGGUCUACCUCUCGGCUCGUCGAGGCCGAUCGAGGGAUCCUACGGAAGGAUCUCGGACGAUCUCCUCUUCCGGAGAGAUCCGCUCUUACCUUUACUCUCCUCGGGGCGUGAACGUGACACUCACGGGUCUGCCUCUCUUAUCGGUAACGGAGCGAAAGUCACGUUAUCUCAGCACCACACCCAAUUCGGUUCGGAUCUUGCUCGAGCGAGAACGAACGCCUCGCCGGUGAUGAUUCCCGUGAAGAAAAGAUUCCGCGAAGUACUCUCGUCGAGCACCAGUUAUACCGGACAGCCGCGAGUACCAUGCGACGAUUGCGUGUGGAGUACCUGCCCCCCGCGCCGGUGAAACUUUAGACCAGUUUAGUACCAGACGGGGUAGGGGAGCGUGCGAGAGAUGACGUAUUCACAGGCACUUCUUAAAAAGAGAUGUUUAAUUUUAAGCAGAAUUAUUAGUGAUUAGUUAAAAAGCUGAAAGUUGAAUAAUACAUUUAAAAAUGUUAAAAACUUAACUUAUUGUGAGUCACUUUGAUUCAAUAAAAGUCCUUAAGUGCUGAAAGUUUAUUUAUACAUUGUGAAUAUGUAAAAUGAUGUGUAUACAUGUAUUAUAUAUGAUUGUACUUUUACACUUUUUUUUUAAUUUUUAAGUUUUAUUCUAGCUGACAAGGAAUUUGAAGCAUUAUGUUUCAAGCUUGAGCUGGAUGAAGUAACAAUGGAAAAGCAAAUGAUAGCAAGAGUAGGGUUUUGACCAAGGUAUAGAUGCGUCCGAAGAAAUUAUCUACAAGAUUGAUAUACCUGUCAACAGAUAUUAUCUGUUGUGCUUGGAGCCUAAGUACUGGACUACUUAUAUUGUUGAAUAAAACAUACAAAAGGACUGCAAUUGGUAAUAAAAAGCAAAACACAUAAUGCAAAUUACGCAAGAACUGUAUAAAGGAUGUAUGCCAGGACUCUUCAAAUUUCACUUUUUAAAUGUUCUUCCACCUAGGCUGAAAGCCUUUUACAUAUACAUAUAUAUAUAAAGUAUUUUUUUCUAAACAGGAUGUUCAUCUCACAUUAUAUGGCAAUAAAACCAAAUGCAGGAAUGGAAAAGAUUAUAAUAACUUCAGAAUGCUUGAAAAUAAGAGGACAUUUGGUUGUUUCAAUUUUGAGAGAUGUUACUUUGAUGCAAGAUUCUUACAAUAGUUUUAUUGAUCUUCAAGAUAAGUUGCAUCAAAAUAUAGGAAGAAAACAUAGUCUGAUCUCUAUUGGCACUCAUGAUUUGGAUGCAAUUAAAGGUCCAUUUCUAUAUGAUGCUAGACAACAUGAAAAAUAUAGCUCAAACCACUUAAUCCAGAUAAGCAGUUUUCACUAAACAAGUUGACUGACUUAAUUCGAAUAGAAACGGCCCAGGCAGAAUUCACUGAAGCAUUGACUUUCUCUUUGUGCUCACGUGAGAAUGUAGCGGAUAAAUUGGGAUACGAAAUAGAAGAUGUACCGGCAGUUCACAUAUCCAAUCUAAAAACUUUGGAGUUUCAAAUAAAUCGACCGAUACCGCGCGCUCUUAUUAAAACCUCGAAAACAAGAGUAGUUCUAUUCUUGAUUUCUUUUUAUUUGAACGAUACAUGUGUGUAAUAGAACGUAAACAGAUAUCGUUAUGCGGACGUUUAAAUAAAAAAAAAAAUUUGCAAA